rnacentral:lncRNA from 1 species
UGUGUGUGUGUGUGAGUGUGUGUGUGUGUGUGUGUGUGUGUGUGUGUGUGUGUGUGACACCGUGCUAUGUUUUUGUCUUGUGUUUUAAUAUGUUGGCAAACGUUAUAUGAAGAUGAAGAAUACUGUCAGGCUAUUGAUUGAUUUUUCAUGGUUCUGCAUUUCCCCAGGAGAUUUUAAUAAAUAAGCAUGGGCUGAUGUUGAGUGUGUGCUCUUUUAUUUUUUAUUUGUUUUUAUUUUUAAACGACUGCCUAAAAUUAAAUGAUGAUAACGCAAGGCAAGAGUAUGGCAUAGUUCUGACCUAUUUUUAGCGGAAUUCGUUGAGGGAUUUGUCAGUGUGAUUCAUAGAUUAAGUAUUUCAAAUGUAGGCUAUUAUAUACACGCACAACGUUUUUUUUUCUUACCAUCUUUUGGGGGUUUCCUGCUUUUAGACUAGUCGACUAGUCGGAUACGAAACUUCCCUUUAAACGACAGUCAAAUUAGUCAUCGCGCACAUCCCUAGAUAGGACUUGGCGAUAUAUCGAAUAUUAAAAAUUUGAAAAUAUUGUGAAUAUUGAAUAUUUCAAAUUCAAGCAUACUUUCCCAAAAGAAUGUGCUGAACGUCCAAAAACUGAACAUGUUAUUGUGGACUGCUCUAGACGCCUCUACUAAGCGAGCUUUCAUGAGUGCUGUUGCCAGAUAUCAAGAGUUCAAAUCCCCAAAUCAGGGCUUCACUGUUACAUAGAUACAUUUUCUUCCUGGUGUUUUGCUUAUUUUAAACAAUCUGGCAACCAUGUGCAUGCAAAUGCUCGCUCCUCCGCAGAUGAUCUGAAAAACAAACAAGCAGGAGUUUAUCGAUCUAAAUGAAGGCAUCAUUCAGCUGGUCUGUGUUCAUGAGAUCUCGACUUGUGCAGAUGGAGGAUCGCAACAUGCUGCGACGGAUGGAGAAGGAGAGAAGGAGUCAGGGGGUGCAGCAGGAGGAGAUGCAGUAUGACAGAAUCGCUCCUCUCUUCAGCAAGCCGUAUAAGAGAAUCAAAGAUGAUGAGCUGUCCAGUCUCAUCCAGAGGAUGCUGGGUAAUUAUGAGGAUGGAUAUGACGGACCUGAGGAACUUUGUCCUGCGCUUCCUUAUGACCGUUCCUCACACUUCCCUCACGUGGACGAGCAGUCUGUACAAAAGCAUCGCUCCAGAGACGCUCCAGACUGUGUGUCCGUCUCCGGGCCUCCUUCGGGUGAGAGCUGGGACAGUUUACCGGCCCUGUCUCCCCCGGUGGAGCCGCUGUCCCCUCUACAGUCCAGUGAAUCGGACGGCGGCCCGUCUCCAGAGCGCAGCAGCUCGAGCCGCAGGCCGGACGCGCCUCCGCUGACUCAUGCGCUCCCACUGAAUUUGCACGGAAAACUGGCCAACGCCAAGAAACCCACCGCAUAUGUGAGGCCGACGGUCGGUCAGGAUCAGGUGACCAGCGAUUCUCCCGAACUGAAGGCCUCACCGGAGUCUUAUGAGCACUUACAGGACCUGAAGGAUAGCAGCAAACCAAAGCUUCCUGCUCUGCAGUCGUCUGAUAUUGUGUCUGGUGUGCGUGUGGAGGACAUUCUACAGGAAAUGACCUCGUGGCCUCCACUACUGACGACCAUUUGCACGCCAACCACAGCAGAGCCAACUAAGUUCUCCUCCACUAAUGAGGUUAGAUCAGAAUAAAUGGUUUAGUUGGUCACUAAAAAACCAUAGCUUUUGAACUCAUUCUUGAGCUCAUUCUUUUUUGAACAUUCAUUCUUGUAAUUGCUUUGACAGGAGACAUGUGGAUUCCAGACUCUCAGUAAGUGUGUGUGUGUGAGUGUGUGUGUGUGUGUGUUCAUGGUGUCUUGGAUGGGUGAAGUUUCUAAGUCACAACAACUUGCUACUGGGGUUCCUCACGGCUCAGUACUUGGACCGCUUCUCUUCUCCAUCUACAUGAUGUCAUUAGGAUCUGUCAUUCAGAAGCGAUGGCUUUUCCUAUCACUGCUACGCUGCUACGCUGAUGACACUCAACUCUACUUCUCAUUCCAACCAGAUGACCCGACGGUAGUUGCUCGCAUUUCAGCCUGUCUGAGUGACAUUUCUAGCUGGAUGAAUGACCAUCACCUUCAGCUCAACCUUACUAAGACUGAACUGCUGGUGGUUCCAGCUAACCCAUCGUUUCAUCACAACUUCUCUAUACAGCUGGGUUCAUCAAGCAUAACUCCUUCCAGGACAGCCAGAAACCUAGGAGUUGUGAUGGAUCAUCAGUUAAGCUUCACAGACCAUAUUGCUACAACGGCCCGGUCCUGCAGAUUUGCCUUAUUCAACAUUAGGAAGAUUAGACCCUUCCUGUCAGAGCAAGCCACCCAACUUCUUGUCCAAGCUCUUGUUCUCUCCAGACUGGACUAUUGUAAUGCUCUUCUGGCGGGCCUUCCUGCAUGUACUAUCAAGCCUCUGCAACUGAUCCAGAAUGCAGCAGCGAGGGUUGUCUUCAAUGAGCCAAAAACAGCCCAUGUUACUCCUCUCCUCAUCAGGUUACACUGGCUACAUGACACA